rnacentral:rRNA from 1 species
GUCUAUGGCCAUACCACCCUGAAAGCACUUUAUAUCAUCUGAUCUUGGAAGCUAAGCAGGUUCGGGCCUGUUUAGUACUUGGAUGGGAGAAUGAUCUAGUAGAGAGGGAAUAUUUUAAAAC